rnacentral:rRNA from 1 species
AAUCCUUGCCGUCGAAAGUCUAAGGUUUCCUGGGGAAGGUUCGUCCGCCCAGGGUUAGUCGGGACCUAAGGAGAGGCCGAGAGGCGUAUCUGAUGGACAGCAGGUUGAUAUUCCUGCACUAUAGAUAUACUUAAAAGAUGCAAGGGACGCAGAAGUGGAAGGGAUGCGAGGAAGAGGAAAAACUCGUAUCGAAAGAUAUAGUGAAAAUAAAGUAACGAAUUCCCAAGAAGCACGCUGACGAGAAAAGCUUGUAGAUAUUGUAUAUAAAUACCCGUACCGCAAACCGACACAGGUAGAUGAGGAGAGGAUCCUAAGACGAGCGGGAGAAGCAUUGUUAAGGAACUCGGCAAAAUAACCCCGUAACUUCGGGAGAAGGGGAACCUAAGUAAAAUUAGGUCGCAGAGAAAAGGCCCAAGCAACUGUUUAACAAAAACACAGGUUUCUGCAAAAUCGAAAGAUGAAGUAUAGGAGCUGACGCCUGCCCAGUGCUGGAAGGUUAAGGGAAAGAGUUAGAUGUAAGUCGAAGCUUAGAACUAAAGCCCCAGUGAACGGCGGCCGUAACUAUAACGGUCCUAAGGUAGCGAAAUUCCUUGUCAGGUAAGUUCUGACCCGCACGAAAGGCGUAAUGAUUUGGGCACUGUCUCGACAAUGUACCCGGCGAAAUUGUAGUACUAGUGAAGAUGCUAGUUACCUGCGACAAGACAGAAAGACCCCAUGGAGCUUUACUGCAGUUUGAUACUGGGUUUCGAUAAGUUAUGUACAGGAUAGGUGGGAGACAAAGAAAGAAAGGCGUCAGCUUUUCCGGAGUCACCGUUGGGAUACCACCCUUAAUUUGUUGGAAUUCUAACUAGUGGUCAUGAUCUGGCCAGAGGACAAUGUCAGACGGGCAGUUUGACUGGGGCGGUCGCCUCCAAAAGAGUAACGGAGGCGCCCAAAGGUUCCCUCAGUGCGGACAGAAAUCGCACGAAAGAGUGUAAAGGCAGAAGGGAGCUUAACUGGAAGAUAGACAUAUCGAGCAGAUACGAAAGUAGGGCUUAGUGAUCCGGUGGAUAUUGAAUGGAAAAGCCAUCGCUCAACGGACAAAAGUUACCCUGGGGAUAACAGGCUUAUCUCCCCCAAGAGU